AUUUACCUACUUCCUCCCAGAUCAAGCAUGGUGGUUAUCAAGUCUGGAAAGAGGUGUAUUCAGAAUAUAUAAGGAAAAAACUGAUUUUGAGGAUCACACUACCUCCGGGAAACCUGCUGAACGCCACACCCCGCUCUGCUCCUAUCUUGCCUGGGCUAACUCCCCUCCUCUGUGUUCUCCAUUCUGCCCUGUUGGAGCCAACCACCCAGUCCUCCGUUGCACCUUUCAAUAAAACCCCUUUGUUACCCCUUCGAA